AGAAAGUAAGGAAUGCUUACACAUGCAAGUCGAUUCAAGUUACCUUCGGGUAAUGAGGAUGGCGGACGGGUGAGUAACGUGUAAGGAAUUUGCCUCUUGGACUGGGACAACUGUUGGAAACGACAGCUAAUACCGGAUAUUAUGAGAUUCUCGCAUGAGAAACUUAUGAAAGCUAUAUGCGCCAAGAGAGAGCCUUGCGUUCCAUUAGCUAGUUGGUGGGGUAACGGCCCACCAAGGCGACGACGGAUAGCCGGCCUGAGAGGGUGAACGGCCACAAGGGGACUGAGACACGGCCCUUACUCCUACGGGAGGCAGCAGCGGGGAAUAUUGGACAAUGGGCCACAAGCCUGAUCCAGCAAUUCUGUGUGCACGAUGAAGGUCUUCGGAUUGUAAAGUGCUUUCAGUUGGGAAGAAGAAAGUGACGGUACCAACAGAAGAAGCGACGGCUAAAUACGUGCCAGCAGCCGCGGUAAUACGUAUGUCGCAAGCGUUAUCCGGAUUUAUUGGGCGUAAAGCGCGUCUAGGCGGAAAAAUAAGUCUGAUGUUAAAAUGCGGGGCUCAACUCCGUAUUGCGUUGGAAACUGUUUUUCUAGAGUACUGGAGAGGUGGGCGGAACUACAAGUGUAGAGGUGAAAUUCGUAGAUAUUUGUAGGAAUGCCGAUGGAGAAGUCAGCUCACUGGACAGAUACUGACGCUGAAGCGCGAAAGCGUGGGGAGCAAACAGGAUUAGAUACCCUGGUAGUCCACGCCGUAAACGAUGAUCACUAGGUGUUGGGGGGUCGAACCUCAGCGCCCAAGCUAACGCGAUAAGUGAUCCGCCUGGGGAGUACGCACGCAAGUGUGAAACUCAAAGGAAUUGACGGGGACCCGCACAAGCGGGGGAGCAUGUGGGUUUAUUUCGACGCAACGCGAGAAACCUUACCAGGCGUUUGACAUCCUAAGAAAGUUUCCCGAAAAAGGGAUUCGUGGCCGGGUUUGCCGGAAACUUAAGGGACAGGUGGGGGGCAUGGGCUGGCCUCCAGCCCCGUUCGCCUAAAA
rnacentral:rRNA from 1 species